rnacentral:piRNA from 1 species
UGGGCUUUCUCCCUGUUUUCUCUGGAG